GUGCCAGCAGCCGCGGUAAAACCAGCUCCUCGAGUAGCCAAGACGAUUAUUGGGCCUAAAGCGUCCGUAGCCGGUCCAGUAAGUCUCUGGUUAAAUCUAAUGGCUCAACCAUUAGGCUGCUAGAGAUACUGCUGACUCGGAGGCGGGAAAGGUCGAGGGUACUCUCAGGGUAGGGGUGAAAUCCAAUAAUCCUGAGGGGACCACCAGUGGCGAAGGCGCUCGACUGGAACGCGCUCGACGGUGAGGGACGAAAGCCAGGGGAGCGAACCGGAUUAGAUACCCGGGUAGUCCUGGCCGUAAACGAUGUGGACUAAGUGUUAGGGCGGCCACGAGCCACCCUAGUGCUGAAGGGAAGCCGUUAAGUCCACCGCCUGGGGAGUACGGCCGCAAGGUUGAAACUCAAAGGAAUUGACGGGG
rnacentral:rRNA from 1 species